rnacentral:lncRNA from 10 species
AUUGUUCUUGCUGGUGUGGUAUGUUCACGGCUGAAAAGAUGGUCAGAAGGGGAAAGGAGGAAGUGAGAAGAAAGAAACAGGGAAAUGGUAAGAAGAACUCUACUUUUCUAAAUAAUAUUUAAUAGUAGUAAUCUUGUGUUUCUGUGCAAGGUGUUACAGUUUACAAACCGCUUUUAUUUUUAUUUAUUUAUUUUUUUUGAGACGGAGUUUUGGUCUUGUUGCCCAGGCUGGAGUGCAGUGGCAUGGUCUCGGCUCAUUGCAACCUCUGCCUCCCAGGUUCAAGCGAUUCUCCUGCUUCAGGCUCCGAGUAGCUGUGACUACAUGCACCCACCACCACACCCGGCUGAUUUUGUAUUUUUAGUAGAGAUGGUGUUUCACCAUGUUGGCCAGUCUGGUCUCGAACUCCUUACCUCAGGUGAUCCACCCGCCUUGGCCUCCCAAAGUGCUGGGAUUAUAGGGGUGAGCCACCAUGGCAGGCCACAAACCGCUUUUAAAUCCUUUCACUUCAUCUCUCCACUGACGUCUUGAUGGAAAAAUGGCUCAGUCCACACUACAGGAAACCACAGGCCUGAGCCCCAGCCUCAGCUAGAUCCAGUAUGUGGCAGAGCAAGAUAAGAACUUUCUGCUUCCUCCCUUAGUGUUCCACUUGAAACCAGCAGGUAACUCAAGGGGACAGCGUGCUUAAAAGGGAGAUGGUUCGUCUGGCGCUGUGGCUCAUGCCUGUAAUCCCAGCACUUUGGGAGGCCGAGGCGGGUGGAUCACCUGAGGUCAGGAGUUCGAGACCAGCCUGGCCAACAUGGUGCAACUCCGUCUCUACUGAAAAUACAAAAAUUAGCUGGGCGUGGUGGUGGGCCCCUGUAAUCCCAGCUACUCGGGGGGCUGAGGCAGGAGAAUCGCUUGAACCCAGGAGGCGGAGGUUGCAGUGAGCCAAAAUCGUCCCAUUGCACUCCAGUCAGGGUGACAAGAGCAAGACUCCAUCUUUAAAAAAAAAAAAAGGGUGGGGGAGAUGGUCUUCUGAUUGAUUAGAUAAGUGUAGGCAUUUGUUUUCUUUUGUCUGGAAUAAUAUGAUUUCGGGGAGAGGAAUAUCACUUUCCCUACAAAUACCAAGAUGAAAAAGAAAAGGAAAUAAUGAAUCAGAAAAAAAAGAGAGAGAGAAAAUGCAUGACUACAGAAGGUCCCAGUGCAUGACUACAGAAGAUCAGAAUAUACCACCCCCAGGUUCCCGUAAUCCCAGGUCCUUGGGAGGCUGAGGCAGGAGAAUCGCUUCAACCCAGGAGGCGUAGGUUGCAGCAAGCCGAGAUUGCGCCACUGCACCUCAGCCUGGGCAACAGCGAGACUCCAUCUCAAAAAUAAAAAAUAUGCCACCCCAAAAUAUAGUUAU